rnacentral:rRNA from 1 species
UGGGGAAUAUUGCACAAUGGGGGAAACCCUGAUGCAGCGACGCCGCGUGAGCGAAGAAGGUUUUCCAAUCGUAAAGCUCUGUCCUAUGAGAAGAUAAUGACGGUAUCAUAGGAGGAAGCCCCGGCUAAAUACGUGCCAGCAGCCGCGGUAAUACGUAUGGGGCGAGCGUUGUCCGGAAUUAUUGGGCGUAAAGGGUACGUAGGCGGUCUAUUAAGUCAGGUGUGAAAGCGUGAGGCUUAACCUCAUUAAGCACUUGAAACUGAUAGACUUGAGUGAAGGAGAGGAAAGUGGAAUUCCUAGUGUAGCGGUGAAAUGCGUAGAUAUUAGAAGGAAUACCGGUGGCGAAGGCGACUUUCUGGACUUUUACUGACGCUCAGGUACGAAAGCGUGGGGAGCAAACAGG